rnacentral:sRNA from 1 species
CACGUGAUCCCACAACUACUAGGCGAAUGGGCUGGAGUUGCCCUUCACGCACCAGAAUGUCAGGCACCAAACCCUGGCACCUCCAGGCUUCACCAUGCUCACUGUCUCCAUGCUCAAGUCAUCUGGACCCUCAGCCAUAGUUCUCUAUCAUCUCCUCUGUGCUGUUUUCUAAGUUCACAACUGUCUUCCCAAGCUGUUCAUCUUGGUGAGCAAUCCACAUUCCAACUUCCCAUCAUGGUGAACAAGGAUUCCCAAAGAAGAAAUGUCCAAGUAAUUUUUACCUCGUUGUGUCCUUGUUCCUUAGGAAAAAUAUGGCCCAGUGUAACUGUGAUCUUCAUCUUAUCUCUUCUAGAAUCUGCCACUUUGUCUAGGCCCACAGUCAUGGCCCUGGUAGAAAUGCUUGCAUCUUCCACUGAGACGGAUUCUGCUUCCUGUUUGCAAGUGACCUUGCCUCUAGCAUUGGUUCCUGACUUGAAUCUUUUUGCCAGCAUUACAUCCUGUGGCUUUUUGAAUUUGUGGCCUUUUGAAUCACAGUCUCUGUGCUCGGAGACUCUUUAGUUACUCCCUGUCCGUAGUCUCUUCCAGUCCCUCUGCCUCUUGCCCUGAUCCUUCUGCAGUAGAUUGGCUCAACGAUCCCCUCUCCCAAAAACCGUGUAGAUGGCAUGAGUUUUUGCUUUCCUUACUGUAUCUGUGUACUUUUGCCUCCAAGUAGGAAGGUGACAAUUUUCUCUUAAUACCAUCCUUUCAAAGGGAAUGAUUAUUCCACUUCUGUUUCAUGAUGGCCACUAGUGUAUGCCCCCAUUUGGUGAUUCAUAAUAUAACAGGAAUACCUGGAAUGUAGCAACGUGCGCUUGAAGGUCCACUCUGAGCUCUGGAGGCACUUUCUGUCUCCUGUGACCCUCAAUAGAACUCAGUUCCUAUGAGUCCCUAUAGGAGCAGAGGCCCUGGCUCACCCUUGCACGGGUGGUGGGCACACUUCCCCAUCACACAGAGGUGCUUUUCUCACUAAUUCUGUCUUAUUUUGCAGAGUCCAACUUAGGUCUAGAAAUCAGCAUUCACUGUCCAUGUCACACCUUUCAGCCCAAUGGAGAUAUCCUGGAAAACAUUCACGAGGUGAUGGAAAUCAAAUUCAAAGGCGUGGACAAUGAGGAUGACCAUGGCCGUGGAGAUCUGGGGCGCCUCAAGAAGCAGAAGGAUCACCACAACCCUCAUCUAAUCCUCAUGAUGAUUCCCCCACACCGGCUCGACAACCCGGGCCAGGGGGGUCAGAGGAAGAAGCGGGCCUUGGACACCAAUUACUGCUUCCGCAACUUGGAGGAGAACUGCUGUGUGCGCCCCCUCUACAUUGACUUCCGACAGGAUCUGGGCUGGAAGUGGGUCCAUGAACCUAAGGGCUACUAUGCCAACUUCUGCUCAGGCCCUUGCCCAUACCUCCGCAGUGCAGACACAACCCACAGCACGGUGCUGGGACUGUACAACACUCUGAACCCUGAAGCAUCUGCCUCGCCUUGCUGCGUGCCCCAGGACCUGGAGCCCCUGACCAUCCUGUACUAUGUUGGGAGGACCCCCAAAGUGGAGCAGCUCUCUAACAUGGUGGUGAAGUCUUGUAAAUGUAGCUGAGACCCCACCUGCGACAGAGAGAGGGGAGAGAGAACCACCACUGCCUGACUGCCCGCUCCUCGGGAAACACACAAGCAACAAACCUCACUGAGAGGCCUGGAGCCCACAACCUUCGGCUCCGGGCAGAUGGCUGAGAUGGAGGUUUCCUUUUGGAACAUUUCUUUCUUGCUGGCUCUGAGAAUCACGGUGGUAAAGAAAGUGUGGGUUUGGUUAGAGGAAGGCUGAACUCUUCAGAACACACAGACUUUCUGUGACGCAGACAGAGGGGAUGGGGAUAGAGGAAAGGGAUGGCAAGUUGAGAUGUUGUGUGGCAAUGGGAUUUGGGCUACCCUAAAGGGAGGAGGAAGGGCAGAGAAUGGCCGGGUCAGGGCCAGACUGGAAGACACUUCAGAUCUGAGGUUGGAUUUGCUCAUUGCUGUACCACAUCUGCUCUAGGGAAUCUGGAUUAUGUUAUACAAGGCAAGCAUUUUUUUUUUUUUUAAAGACAGGUUACGAAGACAAAGUCCCAGAAUUGUAUCUCAUACUGUCUGGGAUUAAGGGCAAAUCUAUUACUUUUGCAAACUGUCCUCUACAUCAAUUAACAUCGUGGGUCACUACAGGGAGAAAAUCCAGGUCAUGCAGUUCCUGGCCCAUCAACUGUAUCGGGCCUUUUGGAUAUGCUGAACGCAGAAGAAAGGGUGGAAAUCAACCCUCUCCUGUCUGCCCUCUGGGUCCCUCCUCUCACCUCUCCCUCGAUCAUAUUUCCCCUUGGACACUUGGUUAGACGCCUUCCAGGUCAGGAUGCACAUUUCUGGAUUGUGGUUCCAUGCAGCCUUGGGGCAUUAUGGGUUCUUCCCCCACUUCCCCUCCAAGACCCUGUGUUCAUUUGGUGUUCCUGGAAGCAGGUGCUACAACAUGUGAGGCAUUCGGGGAAGCUGCACAUGUGCCACACAGUGACUUGGCCCCAGACGCAUAGACUGAGGUAUAAAGACAAGUAUGAAUAUUACUCUCAAAAUCUUUGUAUAAAUAAAUAUUUUUGGGGCAUCUUGGAUGAUUUCAUCUUCUGGAAGAUUGUUUCUAGAACAGUAAAAGCCUUAUUCUAAGGUG